UAGGGAAUAUUAGUCAAGGGCGAAAGCCUGAAUUAGCAACACCGCGUGUGCGAAGAAGGCCUUCGGGUUGUAAAGCACUUUUCGGGAGGAUGAGGAAGGACGGUACCCCCGGAAUAAGUCCCGGCUAACUACGUGCCAGCAGCCGCGGUAAAACGUAGGAGGCAAACGUUAUCCGGAUUUACUGGGCGUAAAGCGUGUGUAGGUGGUUUGGUAAGUAGGGCGUAAAAGCUCCUGGCUCAACUGGGAGAGGUCGUUCUAAACUGCCGAGCUAGAGGAUGGUAGAGGGGGGUGGAAUUCCGGGUGUAGCGGUGGGAUGCGCAGAUAUCCGGGGGAACACCAGUGGCGAAAACGGCCUCCUGGACCACUCCUGACACUCAGACGC
rnacentral:rRNA from 1 species